CCUCCUGCAGCUCUCUGUCUUUCUCUCUAUCUCGCCCCGUGCGCGCGACGACUCGCUUUUUCGGCGCUAACCUUUAUCGAGGCGCUGCGCGUUUCUCGUGCGGACGACAGCUCGUGGUGCUCGCGUCGAGGGUACUGUGCAGUCGGACUGGAGGAUUUUCUCGCGAAAGAUUGCUCGUGUCGCGACCAGUGCUGCGGGAAGAGACUCGAUCCCGUCGUCGCGCUGCGCGAGGAAAACGUAAACACGGCAACGGGGAAAAGCUAAGUAGUAUAGAGUGAAAGAAAGAGAGACACACGGUGUGUGAAUAGUCGUCGCUGCUGCUUGAGAGCGAGAGGAGCCUCGUCGUCGCGGGUGUCUCCAAGGCAACAACGAAGCAGCAGCUCACGGUUGAAGGACAGCGUCCCGAAGAAAAGGCUCCUUGUCAUUGCAUCGGACAGUACAGCGUGGCAGAGUAGAGGGCGUGGGUAGCGCUGGGGCGGCCCUAUGUUGUGCGGCGAGCUGGUGAACGGCGGGCUCGCGAGUGCAGGUGCGGUAACGGUGCCUUGCGGACUCGGUCUCUGGCUGCCUGGCUGCCUCAGGGCCGGCUUGAGUCCUAGGCCGUUGACCGGCUCGCCUUAUCUGCCGAUACUGGUCGAACUACUGGCCGCGGCUUAUCUCGAGGAACUGAGGCUCGCGGCCGCGGCCGACGAGUCCAACGCCGGCCACUGCAUGGACACCAUCAACAAUCGCAACGCCAGCGUCAACGAGCUCGAGCUGCAGCUCCAGGACAUCGACGAGGACGUGCUGCUCGAGAACGGGCUGCUCUCCUUCGAGAAUCCAAACUACCACCUGGACCCAGCGCGGCUGGACGACGCCCUGAACAGCAAUGAGAACGGCAGUUCCCUCUACGACGAGCUUUAUCAAGAACUCGUGGGCAGCGGCGGAGGCGGUGGCGUGAACGAGAUGACGGGCAGCGGCACGAGAGUCCAAGGGCGUCGCGCCUACGCCUCUCUCGACAUCGGUAGCAUGGGCGUCGACGUGACCCAAGGCCCGCUUACCCAGGACCCAGCCAACCUCGACGCCGCCGACAACAGCGAGAACCACAAUCACGGGUACGGCAGUGGCGAGGGUGGAAGCUUCGCCGAGUCAAGCUUGAUCGACGACAGCCUCAAUGGGAAUCCCCGGACGGCCGAGGCGCUAGCUACUAGGUCCGAGGAGCGGCCAACCUCGAGCCAGGCUUGCAGUAUCUCAGCCAGUUGCGUCGAUGACGACGCCAUUGUCGGAAACUACUGCGAGAAACCGGAGAACGUGACGACAGACAUGGGCGGCGUGCCACACGUGGAGGGUGUCAACAACGAUCUGUACGCGAACGUACCGGUCAAACGGCGUCAGCACAAGGACAAGCUGCAGCAGCAGCUGCAGAACAACGUCGAGAAUCCGGACAAGAACGACGAGAACUCAGUCGACUCCGAGGACAAGGACGAGAAUCUGCCGCCCGGCUGGGAGAAGCACGAGGACAAAGAUGGCCCGUACUACUGGCACAUCAAGAGUGGCACGAUCCAGCGCGAGCCACCGGAGGCUCGCAUUUCCAAGCUCGAGUCCCGCAAGAGCUUCGUCAAGGAUAACGACAGCAUAAACAAUUUCAACUCGCUGGGCGGCCUGGUGAACACGGUAACGCGCAGCAACACCAGCUCCGCUUUGGACCAGGAGCUCGAGAACAAGAGGAGGGAGGAGCUUGCGCUGAAGCGAAGAAGUUACCCGGCGCGAGCGGACUCCGAAGACAGAAACAAACCGAUCAGGUUCGCGGUUCGAUCGCUCGGCUGGACGGAGAUCGCCGAGGAGGACCUUACACCCGAGAGGAGCAGCAAAGCCGUCAACAAGUGCAUCGUCGACCUGUCGCUCGGCAGGAACGACCUGCUCGACGUCGUUGGACGCUGGGGCGAUGGUAAGGACCUGUUCAUGGACCUGGACGAAGGCGCUUUGAAGCUCAUCGAUCCGGAGAACCUCACAGUGCUCAAUACUCAGCCGAUACAUACUCUGCGAGUCUGGGGAGUUGGUCGAGAUCACGGACGAGAGAGGGAUUUCGCAUACGUGGCGAGGGACCGCAGCACGCGGAAGCACAUGUGCCACGUAUUCCGUUGCGACAUACCUGCCCGCACGAUCGCCAACACGCUGCGCGACAUCUGCAAGAAGAUAAUGAUCGAGCGGUCGCUUCACCAGAACCUUGCCAAGCCCGUCGACAUCAACGGCCGGACGAGCUUGGCAGCCAGGCCCACCAAUCUGCCCACCGAGCACAGACGCUUUCACAGGAACGGCCAGGCUCUCGUCACGCAAUCCUUCCCGACGCCAAUGGAGGAGCCGAAGAAGGUGCUGCGCGCCCAGUACCUCGGAUCGAUGCAAGUCUCCCAGGCAACGGGCAUGGAAAUUCUCAACGACGCUAUUGACCAGCUCAUCGGCAACACACCCAUCAAUCAGUGGCGGAACGUCAACGUCGCCAUCGCGCCCAGCAUGAUCUCCAUACUCACGCCAAACGACGACAAGCUCAUAGCCGAGUGUCGAGUGCGCUACCUGUCGUUCCUCGGCAUCGGCCAGAACGUCAAGCAGUGCGCCUUCAUCAUGCACACGGCACAGGAUCUCUUCAUAGCGCACGUCUUCAACUGCGAGCCCAGCAGCGGCGCACUCUGCAAAACAAUUGAGGCCGCCUGCAAGCUGAGGUACCAAAAAUGUCUGGACGCUCACCCGCCUGGCUUCAGAAACGCGAGCAGCGUGAACACGCCCAGUGGCCGGGGACUCGGCGCCACCCUCAAGUCUUUCGUCGGCUCGCUUACCGGCCGGAAAAACAAACAGAACGAAUCCUGAGACGAGGCUCUCUCGCUGCAGGUGUGUAGUAAGACCAAAUUACGUCAUGGAUGUGCGAAUGCUAAGUGUAAGAAGCCGAGCAUCGUAGGACGUUACAUCGCAGCCGCCGCUCGGCCAUGAUGCUGACGAGAUGGCCGGCUCGAGGCGAUUUUGCGCUAUAGCAGUCUACCUUUAUGUUCGCAUGUCACUGAACGCGCAGGAACUCUGGCCACUGCCUGCCGAGCGAGAGGUCAUCAGACACAGACACUUGCAGUCGCCCCUGACCCUCAAGUACUUCGGAGGAUCGCCGCCGAGUGCCUCGCUCAGAUCUCUACUCUCGCCCUCACUGGACACGAGGCGCAUACAGCUCGCCCGCUGGGAGAGCAGCAACUCCUAAGACGCACCGGUCGACCAGCAUUCGAAGAGAAAAACAAGAACAAGAGGGAGAGAGAGAAUAGAAAGCUGAUCCUGCGAUGCACCUGCGAAGAGCGCGAGAGACAUGAGAAUGACGAUGAACGAAUGAGACGAGAGCGCUGAUAGGAUGGGCUGCGUGUUUUUUUAGCUAAAUCAUAAAACAAAAUGGACUACGCUUACGUGUCUCGUGUUAAUGCAUUAUUGAAACAAAAUAAGAGGAUACGAUGUUACGUGUUUAAUCCUAAAAUAAUGAGGCAAAAGAGACGGAGCGGCGCGCGUUUCCUGAGCCCUCUAAAAAAUCUAGUCGUACGCUGUAUUAUGAGGCUGCAAGCGGUGGAGCUCUCAUUAGUUUCUGUACAUACUCAAGACUAUGUGAGAGAAUCAUCCUCGAUUCUUCGCCAUGCUUUAGAGAUCGAAUCGAAUGCGUAUAAUAAUAUAGUCUGAAAACGUUGAGAUCGAAGCAACAGCGAGACUCGCGAAGACGAGAGCCAUUCGAAUCGAUGUUUUGUAGAACAGAUUAAUUAUACACGAGAGAAGACAAACCAAAGUCCCGCCGGUCUUUGAAAUAUAAACGCGUUUAGCUAAUAGGGAAUUUAUUUUUUAUGCCGAAUGAGAGGAACGAGUCCAGGAGAUAUUGAGAUAAUAUUGAGAUAAUAAUGACAGAUAGAAUUUGGGCGAACUCGCGGAGAUAUAUGAUGGAAAAGCUAUGCAUGGAAAACAGGAUGGAGAUCAUUGUUGUAGGAAAAAGAACGAUUGAUAAAAAGAGAAUAGAGUUGUACGAUAAUACAACAAAUGCCACAGUACGCGCGAUCCCUAACGUUAUCUCGUUUCAAAGUUGUGCGCUAAACCGAUAUAAAUAUUGAAUAUAUAAAUAUGAAUAUAUAUAUAUAUAUAUAUAUAAAUAUAUAAAAAAAUUAUACGUUUAAUAGGGAGACAGAGAGCGAGAGAAAAUACAAAACGUACGACGCAUCGAGAGCAGUGCAAUCAGUCCUUGCGCGGAAGAGAAACUUAAGGAUUAAUAAAUGCUGGAUGAUACUGUAGAAAUCUUUCCUCAUCUCUCUUCCUCUAUCUUUAAAAACGUACGUAAAAGCUUGAGCACUAUAGAACAAAUAAAAAUUAUAGAUUGAGAGACUCCUGAGUUUUUCUUCGCGCGCCCAUGCAAAACAAGAUGUGCACAAUCGAUGCACCUACGAGUCAAGCUUUGUACCCGGAACAAAAGAAAUGAAAAAGAGAUGCGACACAUAUGCGAUUAUUACACAAUUACACAUACAUGUAUGAACACGCGAUCACAGACGUUAUAUAUUAUAAUGACACACACUGUAUUAGAGAAAACAAGAAAAUAAAUAGGUAAGCGCCGAUAACGUUAACAAUGCGAACUCAGCGCUGCAGACGCGUUAAAUCUAUGUUUGGUACGAACGUUAAAAAUCAAGCGUUUUCACGAGUCUUGAAGAAACUGCUAUUAAUAGCAUUUUUUGUAAAUUUUCCUAAAUGAAGAUCGCGACGGCCAUACUCUUUUUUUACACUUUUGAAAUUUCAUUCCUUAAAUGCUAUCUGUGAUAGAUAAAAUAAACGAUGAUUUUUUCGCGCCGUACCCUCUGCAUUGUUAGCAUCAGUGAAAACAUUUGAUAUUGACGUUCGAUCUGUUCGCGAGCGUUCCUAUAGUUUUUGCAAAUUUUAAAGGCAUACAAAGAAAGUUAUAGAGGAAAAUAAAUAAAUUUGUGAAAAAAUAGUCGAAAAAAAAAUUAAUUAAAUUCACAUAGUCUGCGCAGGACGUCGAAUUUACAGUGAAGGAUGACAAACUUACGCGGGACCCAGGAUGACGAUUCCACAGUAGGAUAGGGCUAAGAAAAAAGGGACAUGAACCAGAAAAAAUAGUGAGUGCGAGCGAUUAACGAAUGCAUGACUGCAUGUGCAACGAGUGUGAAAAAAAUAGAAGCAUAAACGCAAGAUUGCGUGUCGAAAGAUAUAUGUCAGCGUCUGAUUUUUACUUUUUUUUAUCCUUUGUUGUGAAAUUCGAAAUUACACUCGUGCAGAAAGAACAAAGUGUUUUGGUACAUACAAGGAAAUGUAAAGGUGACACGAGUAAACCGCGAAAGAAGUGAGUGAACCUUAAAGUGUGAAAGAGAAAAGAUAUACUUAUGAAGCCAUAUAUAAGAAGAUGCGAUCCGCGUAUAUAGACGGAGCGAUGACUGCUAUGUUGUAAAUAUUUGACGUUUUGCCGGAUCCAGCUUCAAUGACUUGAAUGUAAAUACGUAUAUUAAAAAAGCUAUAAACGCAAACAGCAUAAUAGUACACACGCGCGCGCGUGCUCUAACAUAACGUGGUACAGCAGUUCUCCAAGUCCCGUGUGAAAUAUACAACAAACCCGAACGACUUUCGUAAAUGAAAGAAUUGUGAGAGAAUAUAAGGAAGUGCCGUUUACACCACAUCAAUACAGGGCCAUAAUGCAUAAAGAAAAACGUACUCUUAAAUACACCUAUACGCGACCCACGAACACUGAAAAACACGUAAACACGCGAAAAAAUUAAUAGGCGUUUUCGUCGUGCGAGCUUAGAACAAAUAAUAGUGCGCGCUACAAUAAUACUUAUAUCCCGUUGCGUUUGUUUCUUCCACUCUCGUGUGUGGCUAUGUACGUUUAUUCGCGGAAAAACCCGAAAAAUCGCUAGACGAAGCGUUCGGUAACAAUAAUACUGUUAGUAUCCGAUGAGAGCGAGCUGCAGCAUGGUACUAAAUCCAUUCUUAACGUUACUUUUAUCCCUGCAAAUAGAGACCAUCUGAAACAUUUGCUCAUUUCUGAACAAAAUUCACUUUUACGCGCAGUGAGAGAAAUUGUUGAAAAAACGUCUUGAAUAGCGCAAAGAUCAGCACUAUGCAGUUUCAGUCAAACCAAAUACGCAUUACUGGACUUUAUUCAAUACUUUCUCCCAUAGUGUAAAACAUUACGCUGUCCUAGUCAAGAUUUUUUUAUCUUUAUAUCAUAUCAUAUAAUUCUUAGAAAUAAGAUUUCUAUUGUGUUCGAUGUAAAUAUUACAGAGGUAUUUUAAUUUUCGAUAUUAUAUAGAAUUACAAGAUGUAGGGCGUAAAUAGAAUGCACUGUUUUUUUCUUAUAACGCAGUAUAAUGGAUUAUCGAAUACGGAGAAUAACGUAAAUAAAGCAUGAAAUCCACGUAAGAGUUUGAAGAAAAACGCCAUCAAAUGCACACACUUUGUCCACAUUCUAUAAGCAAAAACAUUUACCAAAAAGAAAAUGACGUGACACGCUUAUUACACGAGCAUAGCUUAAAACGAUUCCUUCUCGAGCGUCGAGGUUCGUAUGCCGUCUACAGCGAAAAGAAAUACGUCAAAAAUAGUCGUUUUUUUUAACGUAUAAUGAACUUCUCGCACCACUGAAAACUAGCUUAUAGCGACCUACUGUAUUUAAUGUGAGAUGUAUUAUGUAUACCUAUUUGAAAAAAAGGAAACAAAGCUGAUACGAUAGUAAAGAAUUGUUCUGCACAAAAAGGCAAUGCUUUGUGGUGAUUAUAAUCUUUCAAAAAUGAAAAAAAUAAACAUGACAUUAUCCAUUCGUACCUCAUAUGAAUAGAGUUAUCUCAAAUUGGAUGUGCAUUUCGUAAGAAGAGCGAAUUCUUGUAAUAGAUCUUCUGAAAUAGAUGGAUAUUCUUGCCGAAAUACGCAUUCAGUUUGACAUCGUAUUCGUUAUACACAUAGACAUCUGCUCACAAUCGUUUACACAAUCGUAAUUGUCAUAUGCAUACAAACUACUAUCGCCCAACUGCGUGAACGCCGCUAUAUAUAAAGUAAAAAAAUGAAUCUCAUCUGUCAUCGUUAAAAUGCUGUUGUAAUUGUUAUACUAUCAUCUCGUCAUUGUCGCGUUAAACUGAAAUGUGUCGCGCCGCACCGUUGCUUUUUUCAUCUUUAUAUCUAUCAUAAGAAAAAAAAAGAAAUGUCGCAACUUAAACUCGAUUUUUUCUUUUUUAUUAGUCGACUUUUGUUUAAUAUAAGCAUAAACCUAUCGAGCUCUGACAUAGGGUAAAGUUUGGAAUUUGUCAAUGGAGUAUUUGAUCAUGUGACGAUGUCAAAACUUUAUCAAAGUUCAGUACAAGAUCUCAAUAUACGAUCGUCCACUCAUCGCUAAAUGGACGAUCGCACUUAUAUAGAAAAAUAUUAAGUCAAUGCGUCAAGCUGAAAAAACUCGCGCCUGUGUGAGCUUUUUUCUUUGUUAUUAUUUAUUGUGAUCGUUACUAUCGGCGAUUAAUGUUAACCAAAUGGUUUCGCAGUACACAUUCAAAGUGCUGUCAAUGUUACCAAGAGAAGUUUCUGCUCGUUGAUAAAAAUGAGUAAACACUUAAGUUAACGAGAGAUUAUUAAGGUUUGCUAAGUGAUAAAGUAAGAGAAAUGUUUGCGAAUUUAUGUUUUGACGCGCAUUAAUAUACGAAUAAAAUAUUGAAGAUAAAAAACGUCUUUUUGAAAAAAAAAAAAUAAUAAUGAAUAAUAAUAAUAACAGAGCUUGCACGCUCAUUUAUAUGCAUAGUCAAGACGAUUAUCGAUGAUUAUCAUAAGUUCGUAAGAGAUCAAGUAUUAUUGUAUGAAGCAACCGAAUGAAAUCACACAAUGUAACUACACCUGCCUCUUGUGAAUAAAAGUCUAUUUGUUUCUUUUCAAUAA